rnacentral:lncRNA from 1 species
CGCCACCGAGGAGGAGAAGCUUCGCCGGUUCGAGGUGUACCGGAGCAACAUGGAGUUCAUCGAGGCGGCGAACCGGGACAGCCGGAUGAGCUACCGCCUCGGCGAGACCCCGUUCACCGACCUCACCCACGACGAGUUCAUGGCCAUGUACGGUGGCAGCAACGGCGACCCGACGUCGGAGAAGGAGGAGAUGAUGAUGAUCACCACUCGCGCUGGCCCCGUCCACGAGGGUGGCGGCGUCCAUGGCGGUGACCUCCACCAGCUCGCCGCCGUUGAUGAAGAAGAGCCGCCGCGUCGUGCAAACCUGACAGCGCUGCUGCCUCCGAGCGUCGAUUGGAGGGCCGAAGGCGUCGUCACUCCAGUCGGGUUCAAUGCAUGGUGCUGUAAGUAGGCCAUUUUAAUGAAACUAACAUCCAAAUGAAUGCAAGCUAAUUAUAACUGAGUGUCUAUAAUCUACCAUCAGCGUCUUGCUGGGCGUUCGUCGCGGCGGCGACGAUAGAGAGCGCGAAGGCGAUCAGCACCGGUGACCCGCCGCCGGUGCUGUCGGAGCAGCAGCUCGUGGACUGCGACACCCUCGACAAGGGCUGCGGCGGCGGGUGGAUGGACAGGGCCUUCAAGUGGGUGAUCCAGAACGGCGGCAUCACGUCGGCGGCGGCGUACCCCUACACGGACAAGAACGGCACCUGCCAGGAGGGGAAGCCGGCGGAGGCGACGCUAAGCAGCUACAAGCUGCUGCCGCGCGGCGACGAGGAGGCGAUCAUGGAGGCGGUGGCGCGGCAGCCCGUGGCCGUGGCCUUCGACCACAACGACCCCUGCUUCCAGCACUACAUCGACGGCGUGUACGACGCCGGCUGCUCCAUUUCCGGCGUCUACAACAAAGGGGCGUGCAAGACAGCGCAGAACCACGCGCUGGCCCUCGUCGGGUACGGGACCAAGCCCGACGGGACCAAGUACUGGAUCGGCAAGAACUCGUGGAGCGCCAAGUGGGGCGACAACGGCUUCGUCUACCUCCUCAGGGACUCGCCGCCGUUGGGAUUGUGCGGCCUCGCGGUGCGCCCCAGCUUCCCUAUCAUCUGAUUUGAUCGAUCGCCAUGCAUGCACCUCCGAGCCAUGCAUGUAUCCAUGAUCAUCCUUACGUGCACAUGUAGUUGCACCGUACGUGCCUCGCUAUGUACUCACGUGCACACACGUGCUGCGUG